AUGCCGCCCAGACGACGCCCCGGCCACCCGUUGAUAUUCCGUCUUCCAGACGGUCGAAGCAUCAAUGUCUACACCAACGACGAUGGGGAUUUUGUCACCGGCGGAUCGGAGCCACGACUCGUCUCUGAUCUCUGCAGAGAAAUCAACUCCGAAAUGCAGCGCCAGCGCGACCUUUCCCGCAGCCGCCUCUCCCUUCCUCCAUCAGCUACCACCUCCCCUCCACCACCAGCCGAUCCUCUCUUCUCCUCCACCACCACCAGCCGACCCUCUCCCCUCCUCUCCUGUCCGACAUCGGCCGCAGCGUCCAGUGCCACCUCCCCUCCGCCAUCAGGCGCCGCAUCCAGGGCCACCUCCCCUCCUCUCCCCUCCACCAACAGCCGAUCCCCUCCCCUCCUUUCCCCUCCGCCACCAGCUGCAGUCUCCACAAGCCGAUCCCCUCCACCACCAGCUGCAGCCUCCACAACCCACCUCGCUCCCAUCCUUUCCUCUCCACUACUAGCUGCAGCCUCCGCAAGCCACCCCGCCCCCCUCCUCUCCCCUCCACCAUCGAUUGCAGCCUCCACAACCCGACCCCGAGACCUCUUCACCGACAUAGACGGGGUAUCUCGACGCCUUGCGGAUGUGGCAGUGGAAGGUCGCUCCUACAGUUGGCUAGAGCCUCCACCCUGCGAGGACACCGAGCAGGCAGUGCGUCUUGAGGCCCCACCACCGCCAAGGCCUUUUCCACCUGUUUCUUCAUUGAUGCCAACAAGAUUGCUCAUUAAAUAUUUCCUGAGGGUUGAUGCUGAUGGACUCUUUCACACAUAUCCUCAUCGAGGCGGUCCGUUUAAGAGCUUGAAAGAAGCUCGGGAUGCUAUAGACUCCCAUCACACUAAUCUGUGUAAAUUCAAGUACAUGGGGGAUCUUUCAGAGGAGGAUAUCCAUGUGUGGCAGACCCUGUACUGGCCUAAUGGUACAAGGAUGAAUUCCAAACAAGCUUUGGAUGUGAUGAUGAACCGCCGCCCCAAAUGGGAUGUACUUAACGCUUUACUGGACAAGUACAAUGAGGACCAUCAUCUUUUUGGGGAUUUUGCAUAUGAACUGAAGGAAAUUGUGAGUUACAAACCACAUUUUCAGGGAAAAAACUCUCCAUACAAAUGCAGAUCAUUCUCUCACUUAAAUUUGAUUGUCAAGACUGGGUCGAGUACCGUCGGCGAUCUUUUCUUCGCUGAAAUUACAUGUAUGAAGGAUGGCGAGUUGGAGGAAUAUGUGCUCAGCUGUAUAUGUGUUGUUACGCCAGAAGCUAACGGCGAGUGCUGUGGAUGUGGAGAUGAUGUAAAGCACCCCACUGGUGUUGAGUACAAAAAGCGAGAUAAGUUGCCUGUUCGGCGUAAUGGUUGUAGGCGAAUGUCAGAAGAAUUAUUCAAUGAGUUUAUUGUUGUUCGUGAUGAGGAUUGGCUGGAUGCGGAGGAGGCCUGGGUGAGACAAGAGUUUAGGAUGAGCAACAAAGGAGAUGGCCAGGGAAUGAGGGGCAGAUACGUCAUACCGGCAAAACGGUAG
rnacentral:rRNA from 1 species